GGGGAUUUAGCUCAGCGGUAGAGCGCUUGCCUAGCGAGCGCAAGGCCCUGGGUUCAGUCCCCAGCCCCG
rfam:Rattus norvegicus chromosome 11, whole genome shotgun sequence.